UACAGAGGGUGCAAGCGUUGUUCGGAAUUAUUGGGCGUAAAGGGCGCGUAGGCGGUGCGGUAAGUCUGUAGUGAAAUCUCUGGGCUCAACUCAGAGUCUGCUGCAGAAACUGCCGUGCUUGAGUGUGGGAGAGGUGAGUGGAAUUCCCGGUGUAGCGGUGAAAUGCGUAGAUAUCAGGAGGAACACCAAUUGCGAAGGCAGCUCGCUGGGACGUAACUGACGCUGAGACGCGAAAGCGUGGGGAGCAAACAGG
rnacentral:rRNA from 1 species